rnacentral:rRNA from 1 species
AUACGGAGGGUGCGAGCGUUAAUCGGAAUUACUGGGCGUAAAGGGCGCGUAGGUGGUUAGGUCAGUCGGAUGUGAAAGCCCCGGGCUCAACUCGGGAAUUGCAUUCGAUACUGCCUGGCUUGAGUAUGGUAGAGGGAAGUGGAAUUCCGGGUGUAGCGGUGAAAUGCGUAGAUAUCCGGAGGAACACCAGUGGCGAAGGCGGCUUCCUGGACCAAUACUGACACUGAGGCGCGAAAGCGUGGGGAGCAAACAGGAUUAGAUACCCCGGUAGUCC